AUUGAACGCUGGCGGAAUGCUUUACACAUGCAAGUCGAACGGCAGCACGGACUUCGGUCUGGUGGCGAGUGGCGAACGGGUGAGUAAUGUAUCGGAACGUGCCCAGUCGUGGGGGAUAACGUAGUGAAAAUUACGCUAAUACCGCAUACGAUCUAUGGAUGAAAGCGGGGGAUCGCAAGACCUCGCGCGAUUGGAGCGGCCGAUAUCAGAUUAGGUAGGUGGUGGGGUAAAGGCCCACCAAGCCAACGAACUGUAGCGGGUCUGAGAGGACGACCAGCCACAAUGGAACUGAGACACGGUCAGGACUCCCACGGGAGGCAGCAGUGGGGGAUUUUGGACAAUGGGCGAAAGCCUGAUCCAGCCAUUCCGCGUGCAGGAUGAAGGCCCUCGGGUUGUAAACUGCUUUUGUACAGAACGAAAAGGUUUCUACUAAUACUAGGAGCUCAUGACGGUACUGUAAGAAUAAGCACCGGCUAACUACGUGCCAGCCGCCGCGGUAA
rnacentral:rRNA from 1 species